rnacentral:misc_RNA from 1 species
AGCAUCCUUGACUACCUAACACUGUUGCUUCGGCGGGGAGCCCUCUCGGGGGCGAGCCGCCGGGGACUACUGAACUUCAUGCCUGAGAGUGAUGCAGUCUGAGUCUGAAUAUAAAAUCAGUCAAAACUUUCAACAAUGGAUCUCUUGGUUCCGGCAUCGAUGAAGAACGCAGCGAACUGCGAUAAGUAAUGUGAAUUGCAGAAUUCAGUGAAUCAUCGAGUCUUUGAACGCACAUUGCGCCCCCUGGCAUUCCGGGGGGCAUGCCUGUCCGAGCGUCAUUGCUGCCCAUCAAGCCCGGCUUGUGUGUUGGGUCGUCGUCCCCCCCGGGGGACGGGCCCGAAAGGCAGCGGCGGCACCGUGUCCGGUCCUCGAGCGUAUGGGGCUUUGUCACCCGCUCGAUUAGGGCCGGCCGGGCGCCAGCCGACGUCUCCAACCAUUUUUUUCAGGUUGACCUCGGAUCA